rnacentral:rRNA from 1 species
UACGUAGGGUCCGAGCGUUGUCCGGAAUUACUGGGCGUAAAGAGCUCGUAGGCGGUUUGUCGCGUCGUCCGUGAAAACUUGGGGCUCAACCCCAAGCUUGCGGGCGAUACGGGCGGACUUGAGUACUGCAGGGGAGACUGGAAUUCCAGGUGUAGCGGUGAAAUGCGCAGAUAUCAGGAGGAACACCGGUGGCGAAGGCGGGUCUCUGGGCAGUAACUGACGCUGAGGUGCGAAAGCGUGGGGAGCAAACAGG